UCUUCAUGGAGCCAUCAUCGUCUGAAGAG
rnacentral:piRNA from 1 species